GUUGUAUAGUCAAGUAAUUAAGUGCAUGUGGUGGAUGCCUUGGCAGUCAGAGGCGAUGAAAGACGUGAUAGCCUGCGAAAAGCUCCGGGGAGGCGGCAAAUAUCCUUUGAUCCGGAGAUGUCUGAAUGGGGGAACCCACCUACUUUAAGGUAGGUAUUGCAACAUGAAUACAUAGUGUUGCAAGGCGAACGAGGGGAAGUGAAACAUCUCAGUACCCUUAGGAAAAGAAAUCAAUUGAGAUUCCCUCAGUAGCGGCGAGCGAACGGGGAUCAGCCCAUUAAGUUAUGUGUGUUUUAGUGGAACGCUCUGGGAAGUGCGAACGUAGAGGGUGAUAUUCCCGUACACGAAAGGGCACACAUAAUGAUGACGAGUAGGGCGAGGCACGUGAAACCUUGUCUGAAUAUGGGGGGACCAUCCUCCAAGGCUAAAUACUCCUGACUGACCGAUAGUGAACCAGUACCGUGAGGGAAAGGCGAAAAGAACCCCUGUGAGGGGAGUGAAAUAGAUCCUGAAACCGCAUGCAUACAAGCAGUGGGAGCACCUUCGUGGUGUGACUGCGUACCUUUUGUAUAAUGGGUCAGCGACUUAUAUUCAGUAGCAAGGUUAACCGUAUAGGGGAGCCGUAGAGAAAUCGAGUCUUAAUAGGGCGUUUAGUUGCUGGGUAUAGACCCGAAACCAGGCGAUCUAUCCAUGAGCAGGUUGAAGGUUGGGUAACACUAACUGGAGGACCGAACCCACUGUCGUUGAAAAGCCAGGGGAUGACUUGUGGAUAGGGGUGAAAGGCUAAUCAAGCCUGGUGAUAGCUGGUUCUCCCCGAAAGCUAUUUAGGUAGCGCCUCGGACGAAUACCAUAGGGGGUAGAGCACUGUUUCGGCUAGGGGGUCAUCCCGACUUACCAAACCGAUGCAAACUCCGAAUACCUAUGAGUACUAUCCGGGAGACAGACUGCGGGUGCUAACGUCCGUAGUCAAGAGGAAAACAAUCCAGACCGCCAGCUAAGGCCCCAAAAUCAUAGUUAAGUGGGAAACGAUGUGGGAAGGCAUAGACAGCUAGGAGGUUGGCUUANNNNGAAGCAGCCACCCUUUAAAGAAAGCGUAAUAGCUCACUAGUCGAGUCGGCCUGCGCGGAAGAUGUAACGGGGCUAAAACUAUGUGCCGAAGCUGCGGAUGUAUACUUUGUAUACGUGGUAGGGGAGCGUUCUGUAAGCCGAUGAAGGUGUGUUGAGAAGCAUGCUGGAGGUAUCAGAAGUGCGAAUGCUGACGUGAGUAACGACAAAACGGGUGAAAAACCCGUUCGCCGAAAGACCAAGGGUUCCAGUCCAACGUUAA
rnacentral:rRNA from 1 species